GCCUACGGGGGGCAGCAGUGGGGAAUAUUGGGCAAUGGGCGCAAGCCUUACCCAGCAACGCCGCGUGAAGGAAGAAGGCUUUCGGGUUGUAAACUUCUUUUAUUCGGGACGAAGAAAGUGACGGUACCGAAUGAAUAAGCCACGGCUAACUACGUGCCAGCAGCCGCGGUAAUACGUAGGUGGCAAGCGUUAUCCGGAUUUAUUGGGUGUAAAGGGCGUGUAGGCGGGAAUGCAAGUCAG
rnacentral:rRNA from 1 species